GACGAACGCUGGCGGCGCGCUUAACACAUGCAAGUCGAACGGAAAGGCCCUGCUUUUGUGGGGUGCUCGAGUGGCGAACGGGUGAGUAACACGUGAGUAACCUGCCCUUGACUUUGGGAUAACUUCAGGAAACUGGGGCUAAUACCGGAUAGGAGCUCCUGCUGCAUGGUGGGGGUUGGAAAGUUUCGGCGGUUGGGGAUGGACUCGCGGCUUAUCAGCUUGUUGGUGGGGUAGUGGCUUACCAAGGCUUUGACGGGUAGCCGGCCUGAGAGGGUGACCGGCCACAUUGGGACUGAGAUACGGCACAGACUCCUACGGGAGGCAGCAGUGGGGAAUAUUGCACAAUGGGCGGAAGCCUGAUGCAGCAACGCCGCGUGCGGGAUGACGGCCUUCGGGUUGUAAACCGCUUUCGCCUGUGACGAAGCGUGAGUGACGGUAAUGGGUAAAGAAGCACGGGCUAACUACGUG
rnacentral:rRNA from 1 species